rnacentral:piRNA from 1 species
CUCGUGGUCUUGGCCAGUUCACAG